GGUGGGGGAUAGCCGGUGGAAACACCGGGUAAUUCCGCAUAAGGUCACAGACCGGAGGGUGUGUGAGGAAAGGGUCUUCGGACUCGCCUUAGGAGGGGCCUGCGGCCGAUUAGCUAGACGGUGGGGUAACGGCCUACCGUGGCGAUGAUCGGUAGCUGGUCUGAGAGGAUGAUCAGCCACACGGGGACUGAGACACGGCCCCGACUCCUACGGGAGGCAGCAGCAAGGAAUUUUCCGCAAUGGGCGAAAG
rnacentral:rRNA from 1 species